rnacentral:rRNA from 1 species
GCCUACACAUGCAAGUCGAACGAGAAAGUCUUGCUUGCAAGAUGAGUAAAGUGGCGCACGGGUGAGUAACGCGUGGGUAAUCUACCUUUGGGACAGGGAUAACACUCCGAAAGGGGUGCUAAUACCUGAUACGAUGCGAGCUUCACAAGGAGUUCGCAUGAAAGGUGACCUCUUCCUUGAAAGUUGCCGCUCGAAGAUGAGCCCGCGUCCCAUUAGCUUGUUGGUGGGGUAAUGGCCUACCAAGGCUGAGAUGGGUAGCUGGUCUGAGAGGAUGAUCAGCCACACUGGAACUGAGACACGGUCCAGACUCCUACGGGAGGCAGCAGUGGGGAAUAUUGCGCAAUGGGGGAAACCCUGACGCAGCAACGCCGCGUGAGUGAUGAAGGCCCUCGGGUCGUAAAGCUCUGUCAGGUGGGAAGAACAAGAGGAUCUCCAACAAAGGUUCUCUUUGACGGUACCACCAGAGGAAGCACCGGCUAACUCCGUGCCAGCAGCCGCGGUAAUACGGAGGGUGCAAGCGUUGUUCGGAAUCACUGGGCGUAAAGCGCGUGCAGGCGGCCUAUUAAGUCAGAUGUGAAAGCCCUUGGCUCAACCAAGGAACUGCAUCUGAAACUAUUAGGCUUGAGUACGGGAGAGGAGAGUGGAAUUCCCGGUGUAGAGGUGAAAUUCGUAGAUAUCGGGAAGAACACCGGUGGCGAAGGCGGCUCUCUGGACCGAUACUGACGCUGAGACGCGAAAGCGUGGGGAGCAAACAGGAUUAGAUACCCUGGUAGUCCACGCUGUAAACGAUGGGCACUAGGUGUGGAGGGUAUUGACCCCCUCUGUGCCGUAGCUAACGCAUUAAGUGCCCCGCCUGGGAAGUACGGCCGCAAGGCUAAACUCAAGGAAUUGACGGGGGCCCGCACAAGCGGUGGAGCAUGUGGUUCAAUUCGACGCAACGCGCAGAACCUUACCUGGGUUUGACUUCCCCUGACAGCCGUGGAA